rnacentral:lncRNA from 1 species
CUUUCUUUGUGAAGUCUGCGAACCAGAAAUUCUGAAUAAAGAAUUCUGUUAAUCAGAGGAAAGGUGUUAGGCACUGCCGGAUCUCGUGGUUCUAGCACGGUCUCUUAUACCAUUACAAUUGGUCUAUUAUCUGAUUUUAAUACAUGUGUUUAACCAACCCGUGGUACUAUUUAAACUAUAAAUUGCUAGUAAUUAAUUUUAAA